GAUGAACGCUAGCGGGAGGCUUAAUACAUGCAAGUCGAGGGGUAACAGGUACUUCGGUAUGCUGACGACCGGCGCACGGGUGAGUAACGCGUACACAACCUACCUCACUGAGGGGAAUAGCCUUUGGAAACGAAGAGUAAUACCCCGUAGUAUUCUAAGAUGGCAUCGUUUUGGGAUUAAAGUUCCGGCGCGGUGAGAUGGGUGUGCGUACUAUUAGCUAGUUGGCGGGGUAAUGGCCCACCAAGGCGACGAUAGUUAGGGGGCGUGAGAGCGUGACCCCCCACACGGGUACUGAGACACGGACCCGACUCCUACGGGAGGCAGCAGUAAGGAAUAUUGGACAAUGGAGGCAACUCUGAUCCAGCCAUCCCGCGUGCAGGAUGACAGCCCUAUGGGUCGUAAACUGCUUUUAUAGGAGAAGAAUCCCCCCGAUGCGUUGGGGGUUGACGGUAUCCUACGAAUAAGCACCGGCUAACUCCG
rnacentral:rRNA from 1 species